CGUGUAUAAUUACAUAAGUAAAUGUUAUAUGUAAGUUGUCAUAAUACGAAGAGGAGUUGAAAUAAACAGGACAAUUCCCAAUGUAUUAUUCAAUCUUUAUAUUGUUUCCUAUUUUCCGUGUUGCUGUGACACUCGAUUGCAAUUUGGAUGCACGAAAAUAUUGCCCGCACAGUUAUUCUGAAGUGGAUAUUUCUCAAGCCUUCUGCAAGACCUACGACAAAUUUUACAGAUGUUUCUCAGAGAAAAAUCGAUAUUGUAUGGGUUACUACGAAUUCAUACAUUUCCAUAAGUGUUUGGACCAUACGACGAAGAAACCAAACGGCUCUGUCAAUAUAGUUGGGAUUAGCAAUAAGUUUCUUCUUCCAUUUGUUAACAUAUUACUACAAGUGUCGUCAAUAUGAAAGGUAUUUCGUCGAAUUCGAUGUAGUAAAGCUGAGACAUUUCUGUCAUAAAGGUGGAAAUCCAACCCGUAUUCGUGACUGCGAUUGGAACUCUUUUACUUGUAUAAAUAAACAUGAUAAUAUUAGUAUA